CAAUAGCGUAUAUUAAAGUUGUUGCGGUUAAAAAGCUCGUAGUUGGAUUUCUGCCGAGGACGACCGGUCCGCCCUCUGGGUGUGUAUCUGGUUUGGCCUGGGCAUCUUCUUGGAGAACGUAGCUGCACUUGACUGUGUGGUGCGGUGUCCAGGACUUUUACUUUGAGGAAAUUAGAGUGUUUCAAGCAGGCACACGCCUUGAAUACAUUAGCAUGGAAUAAUAAGAUAGGACCUCGGUUCUAUUUUGUUGGUUUCUAGAGCUGAGGUAAUGAUUAAUAGGGAUAGUUGGGGGCAUUCGUAUUUAACUGUCAGAGGUGAAAUUCUUGGAUUUACGGAAGACGAACAACUGCGAAAGCAUUUGCCAAGGAUGUUUUCAUUAA
rnacentral:rRNA from 1 species